GAGCGAACAGGGAAGAGCCCAGCACCGAAUCUCCCGUUCGUAGGGGCGGCGAGAAAUGUGGUGUUAGGGAGCGGCCGUUCCCGUCGCGCGCUGGCUCGUUCCAAGUCCUCUUGAAUGGGGCCACGGCCCGUAGAGGGUGCCAGGCCCGUAGUGGACGAUGUGCGCGCGCGGGGGGCUCGUCUCCUCAGAGUCGGGUUGCUUGAGAUCGCAGCCCUAAGCAGGUGGUAAACUCCAUCUAAGGCUAAAUACUACCACGAGACCGAUAGCGAACAAGUACCGUGAGGGAAAGUUGAAAAGAACUUGAGAGAGAGUUCAAGAGUACGUGAAACCGCCCAAGGGGAAACGGAAGGUAACUGAGCAAACUAGGCCGGGGAAACUCAUCACCGCCCGCGCGCACGCUCGAGCUACCCGACCGCCGCGUGACCGCAGACUUGCUUUUUAGCUUUCUCGUCGGUCCUCCGCGGAGCCCGGUCGGGCGAAUCCUGCUCUGAGCGGGGGAAACGGAACCCCCGCGAGUCUGCGCGUCGGCGGUGUGCACUUUUCCUUCGCCAUAGUGCGUCGCGAUCCGUUGGUCGGCGACCAAGGGCCCGGGGUUAUUAUCCGCGCGCGUCGCCGGCGUUCUGCGCCGGGUCCGCGCGCGGAGUCCCCGGUGUGCGGUAGCGCGGCAGCUUACGACGCGCCGAGUUCGCGCCGCUUUCCCGGUCGCCGUGUAAGACCGCCCUGUAGCGGGGCGGCAGUUACGACGGUCAUGAAAUACGUGGAAGACGUCCCGACCUUCACCGGCGGGCCUCUCCGGACCUUGGCUUCGGCUCUUCACAAGCGUGGGACGCGGUGGUAAGCUAGCGCGCGGCGGGCGUCCCGCUAGGGAACGACCUCGCGCGCAUCCCAUCGACACGUCCACGCGGUGACAGGAGAGGGGGGAUUGAGGGAAACGAGUACCUCUCCUUGGAUCAAUCGGCGGCGUAAGUCUCAGUCUACUUUCCGACCCGUCUUGAAACACGGACCAAGGAGUCUAACAUGUGCGCGAGUCAAUGGGAAUUCCUAAACCCAAAGGCGCAAUGAAAGUGAAGCAGGGCGGCGUCGGUUGACCACCGCGCCCGCCCGGCGAGGGAGGAUGGCACGGGGCGCGACGUUCCCUCCGCGGAGGGGCGCGCGCUUACACACUCCGGCCCGCACUCCCGGGGCGUCGUUCGCGGCGCACCUAGAGCGCACACGUUGGUACCCGAAAGAUGGUGAACUAUGCCUGGCCAGGACGAAGCCAGGGGAAACCCUGGUGGAGGUCCGUAGCGAUUCUGACGUGCAAAUCGAUCGUCUGAGCUGGGUAUAGGGGCGAAAGACUAAUCGAACCAUCUAGUAGCUGGUUCCCUCCGAAGUUUCCCUCAGGAUAGCUGGCACUCGGAGACUAGAAAGAAAGAAACCAUGUGAACGAAUCUCAUUCGGUAAAGCGAAUGAUUAGAGGCCUUAGGGUCGAAACGGCCUUAACCUAUUCUCAAACUUUAAAUGGGUGAGAACGCCGGCAUCCUUGAAACAAUGCUUAUAUGAUUUGAUGCCGGCGAGUGGAUCGUGAGUGUCCAGUGGGCCAUUUUUGGUAAGCAGAACUGGCGCUGUGGGAUGAACCAAACGUAGAGUUAAGGCGCCUAAAUCGACGCUUAKGGGAUACCAYGAAGGGCGUUGUUUGCUUAAGACAGCUGGGCGGUGGCCAUGGAAGUCGGAAUCCGCUAAGGAGUGUGUAACAACUCACCAGCCGAAGCAACUAGCCCUGAAAAUGGAUGGCGCUGAAGCGUCGUGCCUAUACUUUACCGCCGGCGGCAAGGAGAGGGCGCCCGCACGUCCCGCGUCGGGUGCAGCGCGCGACGCCUAACCAGCAAGCGCGUUGCAGGAUGCCCUGUUAAGCCCCGGUGAGUAGGAGGGUCGCGACGGUGAGCGCAGAAGGGUUGGGCGCGAGCCUGCCUGGAGCCGCCGUCGGCGCAGAUCUUGGUAGUAGUAGCAAAUACUCUAGCGAGACCCUGGAGGGCUGAUGUGGAGAAGGGUUUCGUGUGAACAGCCGUUGCACACGAGUCAGUYGAUCCUAAGCCCUAGGGGAAACCCGAUGUAGAUGCCGGCCUCUGAUCUUAAAACCAGGUGCAAAGCGCAGCUGUAAUGGCGGCUUUGAAAAAGCACUCGUGGCCGCGYGUCGGGCGAAAGGGAAUCCGGUCCCCAUUCCGGAACCCGGUCGCGGAACGUCUCACGUCGGGCCCUGCGCCGAAAGGUGCAAGCUCGUCGGGGUAACCCAACAUGACCCGGAGAAGCCGUCGGGAGGUCUGGGAAGAGUUUUCUUUUCUGUUUGAGCGUUCGGGUUCCCUGGAAUUGYCUAGCGCRGAGAGAGGGAAUGGAACGCGWAGAGCACC
rnacentral:rRNA from 1 species